GACGAACGCUGGCGGCGUGCUUAACACAUGCAAGUCGAACGGUGAAGGGAUCAGUUUGCUGGUUCUGGAUGAGUGGCGAACGGGUGAGUAACACGUGAGUAACCUGCCCCCUUCUUCUGGAUAACCGCAUGAAAGUGUGGCUAAUACGGGAUAUUCUGGGUCUGUCGCAUGAUGGGUCUGGGAAAGAUAUUGUUUCGGUGGGGGAUGGGCUCGCGGCCUAUCAGCUUGUUGGUGGGGUGAUGGCCUACCAAGGCGGUGACGGGUAGCCGGCCUGAGAGGGUGGACGGUCACACUGGGACUGAGACACGGCCCAGACUCCUACGGGAGGCAGCAGUGGGGAAUAUUGCACAAUGGGCGCAAGCCUGAUGCAGCGACGCCGCGUGAGGGAUGGAGGCCUUCGGGUUGUAAACCUCUUUCGCCAGUGAAGCAGGCCUGCUCCUUGUGGGUGGGUUGACGGUAGCUGGAGAAGAAGCGCCGGCUAACUACGUG
rnacentral:rRNA from 1 species